rnacentral:rRNA from 1 species
AACACGUAGGAACGUACCCCAAAGUGAGGGAUAAGCACCAGAAAUGGUGUCUAAUACCACAUGUGGCCUUCGGGCUAAAGCUUUAUGCGCUUUGGGAACGGCCUGCGCAUGAUUAGCUUGUUGGUGAGGUAAUAGCUCACCAAGGCGACGACCAUUAGCUGGUCUGAGAGGAUGAUCAGCCAGACUGGGACUGAGACACGGCCCAGACUCCUACGGGAGGCAGCAGUAGGGAAUUUUCCGCAAUGGGCGAAAGCCUGAUGGAGCAACGCCGCGUGCAGGAUGAAGGCCCUUGGGUCGUAAACUGCUUUUAUAUGUGAAGAUUAUGACGGUAGCAUAUGAAUAAGGAUCGGCUAACUCCGUGCCAGCAGCCGCGGUCAUACGGAGGAUCCAAGCGUUAUCCGGAAUUACUGGGCGUAAAGAGUUGCGUAGGUGGCAUUGUAAGUUGGUAGUGAAAGCGUUCGGCUCAACCGAAUAAACAUUACCAAAACUGCAAAGCUAGAGGAUGAGAGAGGUUAUUAGAAUUCCCUGUGUAGGAGUGAAAUCCGUAGAUAUAGGGAGGAAUACCGAUGGCGUACGCAGAUAACUGGCUCAUUCCUGACACUAAGGCACGAAAGCGUGGGUAGCAAACGGGAUUAGAUACCCCGGUAGUCCACGCCGUAA